rnacentral:rRNA from 1 species
CGACCGGCGCACGGGUGAGUAACACGUAUGCAGCCUGGCCGUGACAGAUGGAUAACCGGGAGAAAUCCCGCCUAAUACAACAUAAUGCCGGGAGGGGACAUCCCCUGCCGGUCAAAGGGGGCGACCCCGGUCAUGGAUGGGCAUGCGGCGCAUUAGGUAGUUGGUGGGGCAACGGCCCACCAAGCCGACGAUGCGUAGGGGUUCUGAGAGGAAGGUCCCCCACAUUGGAACUGAGACACGGUCCAAACUCCUACGGAAGGCAGCAG